GAUAAAGUGGCUGAGAGAAAGCGGUGAAUUGUAAAUUCAUAAACAAGUUUAUCUUCUUUAUCA
rnacentral:tRNA from 1 species